rnacentral:rRNA from 1 species
UACGAAGGGGGCUAGCGUUGUUCGGAUUUACUGGGCGUAAAGCGCACGUAGGCGGAUCGAUCAGUCAGGGGUGAAAUCCCAGAGCUCAACUCUGGAACUGCCUUUGAUAUUGUCGAUCUGGAGUAUGGAAGAGGUGAGUGGAAUUCCGAGUGUAGAGGUGAAAUUCGUAGAUAUUCGGAGGAACACCAGUGGCGAAGGCGGCUCACUGGUCCAUUACUGACGCUGAGGUGCGAAAGCGUGGGGAGCAAACAGG